UACGUAGGGAGCGAGCGUUGUCCGGAAUUACUGGGCGUAAAGGGUGCGUAGGCGGCGCAGCAAGUCAGGUGUGAAAUCCCCGGGCUUAACUCGGGGGGUGCAUUUGAAACUGCUGUGCUUGAGUGCAGGAGAGGAAAGCGGAAUUCCUAGUGUAGCGGUGAAAUGCGUAGAUACUAGGAGGAACACCAGUGGCGAAGGCGGCUUUCUGGACUGUAACUGACGCUGAAGCACGAAAGCGUGGGGAGCAAACAGGAUUAGAUACCCUGGUAGUCCACGCUGUAAACGAUGGAUACUAGGUGUGGGGGAGAUACAACCUCCGUGCCGGAGCAAACGCAAUAAGUAUCCCGCCUGGGGAGUACGGUCGCAAGGCUGAA
rnacentral:rRNA from 1 species